GAUGAAGAACGUAGCGAAAUGCGAUAAGUAAUGUGAAUUGCAGAAUUCAGUGAAUCAUCGAGUCUUUGAACGCACAUUGCGCCCGCCAGCACUCUGGCGGGCAUGCCUGUCCGAGCGUCAUUUCAACCCUCGCGCCGUCCCUCCAGGGGGCUCGGCGCGGUGUUGGGGGACACGGCCCCGGCCGCCCCCGAAAUGCAGUGGCGACCCCGCCGCGGCCCCUCCAGCGCAGUAAGCACGCUCGCUACGGGAGGCCCGGUGGACGCGUCCGCCGUAAAACGCCCAACUCUUCAGAAGUUGACCUCGGAUCAGGUAGGGAUACCCGCUGAACUUAAGCAUAUCAAUAAGCGGAGGA
rnacentral:misc_RNA from 1 species